CACGGCUGCUGACACACGGACAGCGAGUGAGGUGGGAUUGAGGAGCCGCUCCGGUGUAACAUCCCACCCAGAACCGCUUAUCCGUGAAGAGAGCACCGGGGAAAGUGUGGGAGUGGCUGGGUGCUGCUGCAGAUGCUGCCGUGUUGAUGAGAAAACCAGAGAGGAUCCAAGCGAGGUCCAUCCAGCAGUGAGUUAUUCUCCUCCCACCACCCCGGCUUAGACAUAGCACUCGUGCUGCAGCCACCCUGCCAGAACCCUCUGGAGUACAAUGAAAACUGUUCAUGAAAAAAAUGACUUGAACAUUGCCUAGGGAAAUAUACUUCACUUAAUCCCACAAAUGAUGCAAAGGACAGAAAAGGACAGAAAAGCAGAGUGGAGAACUUAAAAAUGAGGGAAAAACAGAGUAACAGCCAGAGCAGUUCUCUCUGGAAUAUGUGUGCUAAUUCUGGAAGGUGAAGGAAAACAUUCUCCCUUCAAGAUGUGACUUCAACACCUGGAAACUUGACUGCAAUGACCCCACUGUGUAACCUUCACUUUCCAUGUUCAAGAGGAGGAACUCUGCAGGUUUGGAAAAGAAACAUUGCUGUGGAAGAAUCCAAUA